GACGAACGCUGGCGGCGUGCUUAACACAUGCAAGUCGAACGGAAAGGCCCUGCUUUUGUGGGGUGCUCGAGUGGCGAACGGGUGAGUAACACGUGAGUAACCUGCCCUUGACUUUGGGAUAACUUCAGGAAACUGGGGCUAAUACCGGAUAGGAGCUCCUGCUGCAUGGUGGGGGUUGGAAAGUUUUGGCGGUUGGGGAUGGACUCGCGGCUUAUCAGCUUGUUGGUGGGGUAGUGGCUUACCAAGGCUUUGACGGGUAGCCGGCCUGAGAGGGUGACCGGCCACAUUGGGACUGAGAUACGGCCCAGACUCCUACGGGAGGCAGCAGUGGGGAAUAUUGCACAAUGGGCGGAAGCCUGAUGCAGCAACGCCGCGUGCGGGAUGACGGCAUUCGGGUUGUAAACCGCUUUCGCCUGUGACGAAGCGUGAGUGACGGUAAUGGGUAAAGAAGCACCGGCUAACUACGUG
rnacentral:rRNA from 1 species